GACAGAGGGUGCAAACGUUGUUCGGAAUUACUGGGCAUAAAGCGCGUGUAGGCGGCUCGGCAAGUCGGGUGUGAAAGCCCUGGGCUUAACCUAGGAAGUGCACUCGAAACUGCCAAGCUUGAGUUCUGGAGAGGAAGGCGGAAUUCUCGGUGUAGAGGUGAAAUUCGUAGAUAUCGAGAGGAACACCGGUGGCGAAGGCGGCCUUCUGGACAGCAACUGACGCUGAGACGCGAAAGCGUGGGGAGCAAACAGG
rnacentral:rRNA from 1 species